UACGUAGGGGGCAAGCGUUGUCCGGAAUCAUUGGGCGUAAAGAGCGUGUAGGCGGCCCGGUAAGUCCGCUGUGAAAGUCCAGGGCUCAACCCUGGGAUGCCGGUGGAUACUGUCGGGCUAGAGUCCGGAAGAGGCGAGUGGAAUUCCCGGUGUAGCGGUGAAAUGCGCAGAUAUCGGGAGGAACACCUAUGGCGAAGGCAGCUCGCUGGGACGGUACUGACGCUGAGACGCGAAAGCGUGGGGAGCAAACAGG
rnacentral:rRNA from 1 species